AUGAACGCUAGCUACAGGCUUAACACAUGCAAGUCGAGGGGCAGCACAAGGAGCAAUCUGAGGUGGCGACCGGCGCACGGGUGAGUAACACGUAUGCAACCUGCCUGUAAGCGGGGAAUAACCCGUUGAAAGACGGACUAAUACCGCAUAAUACUAAAUUACUGCAUGGUAAUUUAUUUAAACAUUUAUGGCUUACAGAUGGGCAUGCGCAUGAUUAGCUAGUUGGAGAGGUAACGGCUCCCCAAGGCAACGAUCAUUAGGGGUUCUGAGAGGAAGGUCCCCCACACUGGUACUGAGACACGGACCAGACUCCUACGGGAGGCAGCAGUGAGGAAUAUUGGUCAAUGGACGAGAGUCUGAACCAGCCAAGUCGCGUGCAGGAAGAAUGUUCCCUAUGGAUUGUAAACUGCUUUUGCAGGGGAAUAAAGUGCAUCACGUGUGAUGUUUUGUAUGUACUCUGCGAAUAAGGAUCGGCUAACUCCGUGCCAGCCGCUGC
rnacentral:rRNA from 1 species